UACGUAGGGGGCGAGCGUUGUCCGGAUUUACUGGGCGUAAAGAGCGCGCAGGCGGUCGUUCAAGUCGCGUGUGAAAGCCCCCGGCUCAACUGGGGAGGGUCACGCGAUACUGAUCGACUCGAAGGCAGGAGAGGGAAGUGGAAUUCCCGGUGUAGUGGUGAAAUGCGUAGAUAUCGGGAGGAACACCAGUGGCGAAGGCGACUUCCUGGCCUGUUCUUGACGCUGAGGCGGCGAAAGCUAGGGGAGCAAACGGGG
rnacentral:rRNA from 1 species